rnacentral:rRNA from 1 species
AGAGUUUGAUCCUGGCUCAGAUUGAACGCUGGCGGCAGGCCUAACACAUGCAAGUCGAACGGUAACAGGAAACAGCUUGCUGUUUCGCUGACGAGUGGCGGACGGGUGAGUAAUGUCUGGGAAACUGCCUGAUGGAGGGGGAUAACUACUGGAAACGGUAGCUAAUACCGCAUAACGUCGCAAGACCAAAGAGGGGGACCCUCGGGCCUCUUGCCAUCGGAUGUGCCCAGAUGGGAUUAGCUUGUUGGUGGGGUAACGGCUCACCAAGGCGACGAUCCCUAGCUGGUCUGAGAGGAUGACCAGCCACACUGGAACUGAGACACGGUCCAGACUCCUACGGGAGGCAGCAGUGGGGAAUAUUGCACAAUGGGCGCAAGCCUGAUGCAGCCAUGCCGCGUGUAUGAAGAAGGCCUUCGGGUUGUAAAGUACUUUCAGCGGGGAGGAAGGGAGUAAAGUUAAUACCUUUGCUCAUUGACGUUACCCGCAGAAGAAGCACCGGCUAACUCCGUGCCAGCAGCCGCGGUAAUACGGAGGGUGCAAGCGUUAAUCGGAAUUACUGGGCGUAAAGCGCACGCAGGCGGUUUGUUAAGUCAGAUGUGAAAUCCCCGGGCUCAACCUGGGAACUGCAUCUGAUACUGGCAAGCUUGAGUCUCGUAGAGGGGGGUAGAAUUCCAGGUGUAGCGGUGAAAUGCGUAGAGAUCUGGAGGAAUACCGGUGGCGAAGGCGGCCCCCUGGACGAAGACUGACGCUCAGGUGCGAAAGCGUGGGGAGCAAACAGGAUUAGAUACCCUGGUAGUCCACGCCGUAAACGAUGUCGACUUGGAGGUUGUGCCCUUGAGGCGUGGCCUCCGGAGCUAACGCGUUAAGUCGACCGCCUGGGGAGUACGGCCGCAAGGUUAAAACUCAAAUGAAUUGACGGGGGCCCGCACAAGCGGUGGAGCAUGUGGUUUAAUUCGAUGCAACGCGAAGAACCUUACCUGGUCUUGACAUCCACGGAAGUUUUCAGAGAUGAGAAUGUGCCUUCGGGAACCGUGAGACAGGUGCUGCAUGGCUGUCGUCAGCUCGUGUUGUGAAAUGUUGGGUUAAGUCCCGCAACGAGCGCAACCC